GAGCUAGGUCUAGCGGUUAGGAUUCCUGGUUUUCACCCAGGCGGCCUGGGCUUGGACUCGACUCCUGGUGGGAACCA